UCACGCGUCGCUCGCCGAUGGAACGCGCGUCGGGAGCCACCGCGCGUCGUCCGCUGCGCCUCCUCCAGCCUCGCGCUUCAUGCUCCGCACUCAGAUCUUCCGCUCGCUCGCUCGCCUACUCCUCCUCGCUCGCCCUGCAUCGCCGCCGCCGCCCGCAAUCCUCCUCUCCUCGGCUCGCUCGCCCUACUUCGCCGCUGCCGCCGCCACCGCCCACCAUCCUCCUCUCCUCGGCUCGGUCUCCCUGCGCUCCCGCCGACGACCACCCUCCUCCUCCUCUCCUUGGUCGCCCUAUGCAGCCGGCGCCGCCCGUCCGCCCUCCUCCUCGGCACGGUCUCUCUGCGCAGCCGGCGUAGCCAGCCCUCCUCCUCCUCUCCUCACGGCAGUUGCCCACCACCCUUUUCCCUCCCUUCCCCAGAAGACCAUGCGGUUCCGAGGCCGGCAGCGGUGGGGUCGCACAAGGGCAGUGGGGAGGAACGCAUCCUGGCAGCAAAACACCGUCAAUGGCAUCAGUGAGAAGAGAAAGAAUUGAGUCAGCUCUAGAUGUUUUGGAGUAAAGAAAAGCCUGAUCUGCGAGGAACACGGAGCUUGGAAGGAGAGAGAAAGAUAAACAAAAAAGCAUCUUUUGUGCCUGCUAGAAAGAUGAGGUUUGGAGAAGCCUAACCCAUGACCUGAACAGAUCGCUCGCUUUCCGCAGAAGCAAGGGUAUGGAGGUUUGGCUUCAUGAGAUCAUAGAAGGAAAUGUGGUUACCAGAAAUGAGACAAUUAGUGAUGAUUCCUGUGAGGUCCCAACCUGCAGUAGGAGCUAGGCUUGCCGACCGAUCAAAAAUGCCCUGGUAAGUUUGCUUACCAAUGCUUUUGUUUCAGUGAAACAUUCCUUUCCAUUUCAAGUCUGAUUUCUAUUCGCCAUUUUGUUGCACUUUUUUUAUGGAACCAUUUUGUUGCACAUACAUAGGUUUUAGUGAGAUAAUGGACACCCUGUCAAAACUUGUGUUCUUUGAUACUGCAAAUCAUCCAUACUGAAAGAUACUAAUCGUCCAACAUAUAAGGGUUUUCUUGAUGGACCAGGAAAUUUAAUUUUCACAUUAAGAAUUCUGAUCUCUCACAAUGCUCUAGCUAGCUCCGUGAAGACAGAUGCCAUUAAUUUCUUUGUUUCAUGACUGUAGAGCUAAUGGCUCAUGUGUAUGGAUCAAGGAAAUUUAAUUGGAAUUGACUUCUCGAAUUGAAAUUCUUUUAUAUAUAUGUGUGUUGCACUUUGCUAAAUCUAAUAUGAAUAUAGAAUUCUUAUUUAUUAAGUUCCUUAAAAAUACGUGCCUGGCAUAACUCUAAGGUUAACAUUUGAUUGAGUUUUGGCUUUUUGACUCAAACCAUGUAGGUGCAUCCAUCUUUAUCACUUAUAAAUAAUAUAAUAAUAAUGUACAAAAAGAGGGUGCUUUCAUGUGUUGCGCUGAAAAAAGGGCAAAGGAGAAGACACUCGAGAGCCGAAUUAGAGGGGAAGAUUAGCAAAGCAGAAAAAUACAUGAAGGCACCAGAGCUGCAUCUUAUUUUAUUCAUGAGAACUUCAAGGGAUGAAAGUAAUUGUGCCUCCAUCUAAAUUUAAUAUGAAUAUAAAAUUCUUGUCUACUAUAUUUUUUGAAAACAUGUGCGUAUCUCACGAGCACUAAGAAUAUUAUGUUGCUAUAAGAUCAGUAGAUUGCGAUGCAUAUUGGUCAAAACAUCAUGUUUUCACGUUAUUUAUUACAUUGAACUCUUUUUUUUUCUAUUGCAACAACACACUGUCAUCAACAUAGAUGUACUGUAUAUUUGUGUACAUUGCCAGUAAGAUUAGAAUACUAUUUAUCUAUAAUUUGUAUUGACUUUUGAAAAUUUAAUAUCUACUAAAUAAUAUGAAAUAAUUUAUCGCCUUUGGUUACUAAUGAUUUUUUUCUUAGAAGGAAGAUUACUAAUGAAUGGAUGUUUGGGCAUUUUUCUGUGAAUAUGCCCAGGAUGUUGAGUAAAUGACUGGUGGGAUGUUGAGUAAAUGACUGGUGGCUUGGGAGAAUUGCAAGAGCCCUGGUGCAGAGUUUGUGGACUAAUCUUCCCAUAUGCAGUGGGUGGGUCUUGUUUCUGAUGUUCAAAACUUCAAUUAGUUUUUCCCGUGUGGGUCUGGUGGUCUCUUUCCUGGAUGAGGUGUAGUAGGUGAAUUUUCACAUUUGGCUCCUGAUCAUCUAGAAUUUGUAAAAGACAUGACAUAUCCUACUGUUUGAUGGAAAACAACUCCCACCAAGAGAUCUGCAGUUUUUUUUCUA